AUCGCUUCUCGGCCUUUUGGCUAAGAUCAAGUGUAGUACACUUUUACUGCGUAUUAUUUUUCUGUAUUAAUUAUAAAUGUUACCUUUAUCUUUUUUUCCCCCACUAAGUUUAUUGGUACAUUUUAGAUAAAAAAUACAGUUACAUUCAUCAUUGGGAUCUUGUAC
ensembl:snRNA U2 U2 spliceosomal RNA